CUGCUCACUUCGGUAGCACACAUACUAAAACUGGAAUGAUACAGAGAUUAGCAUGGCCCCUGUGCAGGGAUGACAUGCAAAUUCGUGAAGUGUUCCAUAUUUUU